rnacentral:lncRNA from 1 species
CAAGUUAGAUGUCUAACUUGUUCAAAUAAAAAAAAAACUAUAUAGUUAAAUGAAACUAUAAUUAUAUUUCAUAUGAUUACAUAUGAAAAACUAUGUAAUUAAACAUCACAAAAUUAUGUAAUUAGCUAGCACAAACAUGUGUAAUUAAAUGUCAAAUCAAAAGUUAAUCACAAUUGCUCCUUAGCUACAUCAUUUUGGGUAUCACUUGUGCUCCGUUAGGCAUUACUUGUGCUCUCGAUAAUGGCACCCCUGUACAAAAAUAGAAAAGAAUAUAGAACUCAAUGAUAGUGGACUACUAUGAAAUAAAUUCUAUGAUUAAAACUGAUUUGAAUUUUUUCAUGACUUACAAUGGUUUAACUAUAAGCAUUUAUACUUACAUUUAAAGAAAAUGGAUGUGAGCUCAAGUUAUGAAAGCUAAAUAGCAAGGUAGUUAUGCAAAUUUUCAAAGUUCGAAAAGUGGCAAACAAACAUGAAAACAUUCAUAACAAUUAAACUCUAAUAAUCAAAAUAACUAGGAAACAAAAAUUUAUACUCAUUUGACUUUAGGAACUUAAACUCACAAGUACGAAAGACGACAUAUCAUACAUGUGCUGCAUGUAGAGGGACAAUUCCGCUAUCAUGACCUAUAACCUCACAUUGCGCUUUCCCUUACUCAUUCUCUCCUCAUGCCCUAGUUUGAAUUUUACAUUGCUAGUCCACCCCUUUGGCUAUGCAUGAGCCUUUAUUAUCACAUGUGAGUUUGAAGCCUCGGAGAGGAUGGGAGUUACACAAAGGGUGGGGGAUCAUUUGCAUGUAGGGCUGCCAUGGGCAAAAGAGACAUGUUUCACAUAAGCUUUAUCCAUAGGUAGAAGAGACUAGUUUUGCAAAAGCUUUAUCCAUGUCAAUUCCAGGCUCAACCUUGUCGCAUGCCUCAUCUAUAACCAUCUUUGCAUACUCAUACCCAAACUCACUGCUUAUUUAUGCGAGUGGCAUCUUCAUAAAUGGUAUUUUGUUGUGAGAUUUAAAGUUUGCAGUGUUCAUCAUCAAACUUAUUGUCAAUUAAUUUUAUAGCUUUCCAACAAAUGAAGUCAAGUUAGUAUAUGAAUUUAUAUAUUCCUUGAUUUCCUUGUUCAUGACUUCACUUUUUCCACUUAUCCUAUUGCUAGCAAGGAAGCAAUCUUGUAAAUAUAUGAAUUCAUAUAUGCCCUGAUUUCUUUGUUCAUGGUUUCGCUUUUUCCACUUAUCCUACUGCUAGCAAGGAAUCAAUCUUGUAAAUAUACAUCUACACACUGAUGUCAAAUUUCAUACAAAGACUGCAACCAUCCAUUAUUCAUUAAAUCAUAUCUUUCUAUCAUUAUUGGCCAUCAAUCACCAAAUUCCUUUAUGGUAGUACAAUGGUCAAUGCAUAUGUAGAAAUCCCCAUGGAAGGAUGAAUGAUUGCACUCAACUCGUGCCAUUUUUUGCUCGAACGUUUCUAUAAUAUGCCAUCUACACAAGCAAUGUUAUAACACAUUGGGUAGGUGCUCAUUUUCAUCAACUUGAAUUUUGUAUGCAAAUAACAGGUUGGUGGCAAUCUUAGUAGCAAAGAACUCCAUCAAUCUCUCUCAUCACCUCCUAUCAACUUUGAUUUUUUUUUGUUCCGACUUCUAUAGAUUUCAUUCUUGCAAUCAAGCUUUAUAUCCUUGAGCCUCCAGCUUGAGUACUCAACACUUUGUUAUCUUUGGUGCAUUUCGUCCACAUGAGUUAUACCUAUGGAUCAUCUCUCUUGUGAGCUACGGAAUUCUGCGAUGUGAAGAAAGGAGAUGGACUUUAGAUAGUGAAGCUAAGGCAUGACAAUGUUUUUUUUAUCAUACUUCACAAUUAUCUAUAUACCAUCUUCAUUUUUUCUAAUUCUCAGUAAGACUUUGUUCUUUAUCCUUGUUUGGGGCCGCAAUUGAUUCUCCUCAUAUUUCUGGUGUCCAUGACAUUGUUUUGAACAUACAUAGACAUGAACAUUUAGUGAACCAUCUUUCUUUGAUUGAUGAGUUGAAGAACACCUAACACUAAAUCCCUUUUUCUUUCUUUUUUUGCAUAUUUAUUAUAGAAAUCGAAUGUAGCUUCAUGGGACUCAAACCACAUUACCCUCCUUUGGGAUAUUAUCACUAAUUCAAAACCUAGAAAGUGAACCAUGUUAGCCUCAUUAGUAUCCUCUGCAUCUUGUCCUGCAUUAGACUUGCCACUACCAUCACUGUCCAAAUGAAUAACAUUCUCCAUUUCGUUGUAACAACUGAAAUUGACGUAAUCUACCUCCAUUGAGUAAUCUCAAUAGGUAUUGGUCUCUAUCCCAUGAUCAACUGAAUUACUCCCCAUCUCCAACUCAAUGGUAAACCUCAUGUCCAAGUUCAGAUCCAUUUUAUUUUAUAAACCCGUAACGUGAAAGGAGACAUUAAUUAGGACAUUCAUCUACAUACUUCAAAUCAUAUAAUUAUUUAGGGAACCUUAAAGCUAGCAUUAAAUACUUUUCCUAAUUACAACCAUCAGUAGUAUUACCACUAAUUACUCUGUAGCACUAUUGAUAUUAUUUAAUGGUUAUCUUUUUCAUAGUAAACAUAUUAUCAAAACAAUAAAAUUAAACACAAAAUAUCAGAAGAUCGUUAAAGUGAACUUAAAGAUGGUGCUAUAGUAAUCAGCAUAGAAUAUUGGUAGAUACAUAUGUGCUAUUGUUAUGAUAUAAUUUUGAAAUCAUUUAAAGACAACUCAUAUAUAUUCAAUUCUAAGUUUGGAAAAUACUUAUUAUUAGUCAAUUGCUUACUGGUCAUAUGCCCUAGUCACAAAUUAUCUAUCAUCACAAGCUCAUUACAUAUCUAAAGACAAUAAGAAAUCUUGUAAAAAUAUGAGGGAAAAAAAUAAGUUGCUAAAAAGAAAGAAAACAAUUAAUCAUUUUCGAACCUACAUUAGCCGCAAAAAGAAGAAGUAACUAACAAAAUUCAAAUACUACUAACAAAACUGAAAAAUAGAAUACUCAUCUUUUAGAAAUAAAUGAAGGCAUCCAAAGUUGCUUCCUAUAGGAAAGUAAAACCUACAAAACUUUCAGAGUUUCGCAAUGUCGUCAAAAUGAAUGAUAAUUAUAAUAUUGAUAGAACGAAAUCAAUAGAUUAGUAAAUUUUUCAAAUAUUCUUUAAAAUGUAAGUUCCCAAUAGAAAAUGCACGAACAAGUUAAUAUAAAAUAAUAAAUGCACUAAAUCAUCUACUAUCAUAUAAAUCUUCAUGACUGACUAAAAAACAUCUAGAUCCUGGUUGAUUAAAAAAUAUAAUAGAAGCACACGCACAAGAAGCUAAAUCAUACAUUGAAUGAAAACAUAUCAAAGUUUUUGUAAUUACCUGAUUUUCAAAGGGAUAUUUAAUGAAACAUUUUUUUUCUAGUGAUAUCCUCUAUAGGAUAUCUAAGAAUUGAGGGAAAUGCUUUUAGGAUUUCUAAGCAAAUAACACAAACCAGAACAAAGAAUUAGGGUUUUCUUAGUUAGGCAUAUACAAAUAUUUGGUUCAGAGCUUCACUUGGUAAAAAAAAAAAACAUUGUAAAACCCUAUUAAAAGGGGGGAAGGGGAAAAAAAAAAAGACUCUUAAACUAAUUGAAAAAAAACUAGCACAAUCAAAAUCAAAGAGGUAGAGAAAAGUGUCAUACAUCCAAAAUAAGAUAAAAAGUGGCGAGAGCUUCCUUAUCUCCAAAGAAACCUCUUGUGUACAGUCUAUUUAUUCUAAACAAAUGAGAGGGAGAGAGAGUAAAGAUAAACGAAAAUGGCUUGGGGUUGAGAGAAAGAGAGAGACAGUUGCAUGAGUUGGCUGAAUUUGGUGGAAAAUGGUUGGAGGACAGAGAAUUGAAGGAAAAUGAGAAAAAAAAAAGCUUUUAUACUAUAACACAUUUAUUUAUUUCAUAAAAAUUCACAAUUACUACUUUCCAUUAGAUGUCAAAUUCGAUACUUGGAAAUUUGAGAAAUUUGUUUUGAACUUUGAGUUUAGUAAAUGAUAUACUUACAACCACCCAAUUUGAAAUUUAACAAACAAAUCCUUAUAUUAAAAUGAGUGUUUUAAAAAUCAGUAAUCAAUGAUAUACUUACAACUACCUAAUUUGAAAUUUGAUAAACAAGAAUGAUUGUGGGAGUGUUUUAAAAAUCAAUAAUCAAUGAUAUACUUACAACCACCCAAUUUAAAAUUUGACAAACAAGAAUGAUUGUGACUUCCUUUUAUUAAAAGGAGUAAUCCAAAAUCCAAGAUCGAGCGAUAUGGAUCAAGCAUCAAUAGCACCUUUUCGGAUCCACUAAUAAAACGGGAUCUUGUAUGACAUCAUGACUAGCGACGACGAUUCUCUAUAAAGGGAUGUCAUUUUCUAUAAAGUGAUGUUAUGGCCCAAGAGUUUGGACAAAUUUGUUAUAAAAAAUGGUGGUAGUUGAAACUAGAUAUUGUACGACAUCAUGACUAGCGAUGAUGAUUCUCCAUAAAGCGAUGCCAUGACCCAAGAGUCUGGUCAAAUUUUUUACCGACUUAGACAUGUAGAGACUGUACCUGACAUCAUGUUCACCACAUAAGCAUCUUCACUUUCAUAGUACCGUUGAGGUCACCGUUUAUAGAGGUGUACUCUCCGCAAGUCCUUGAAUGUGGGAUUAAUUUUAGCCUUCUACAUUUCCUUCCAAUAACAAGUUCGCCAUUGCUUCAUUGGAUGCCCAACGGUAAUUGUAAGGGCCUUUAAUAAGUCAUUUUGAGUUUUUUUUUUUUGGGUGAAUUAGUCAUUUUGAGUUGGGAAAGAGUAAAUGCAGAAGCCCUACUUCAUGAUAAAACCUUCAAUACAUUAUUUAGGAUAAAUUCGUAUAUGCUUGAUUGCUUCUAUCUCUCUCUUAUUUAUAUUCGUCUACAUGAAAUAAUCUACAAAAUAAUUCCCUUUUUUUAGAUUAAUGAUAUUUAUUUCUUUUUUUAUAAUCUAUAAAAAAUAAAAGUCCAUAUAGUUAAGUUUUAAUUACAUAUAAUUAUAUAGAAAAUUAUAUUUAAUUAAUUUAUAAAACUUAGUAUAACUAAUUAUUAUUGUUUAUUUAUCUUAAUAACUUGUUAAACUUUUGUCGGUAUAAUCAUAUGAACGUGAUCACAUUAAAAUUUAUAGGGGAUUUUAUUUAUUUUUUAAUUAUAUGAUAUAAAAGUAUUUUCUAAUAAUUUUUAAAUCAUGUUUAUUAUUAUAUUAUAAUUAAUAGUUAUUUAUUAAUGUAUUUAUAUUAUAAAUUUUGUAAUGUAUUAUAUUUUGUUAGGGAAAAGUUUAUAUAGAGCUGAGGCUCUAGACAAUCAAAUUUGAGCCUACCUCCAUAAUUUCACUAUAAGAGGUUGUUUUGAUGCCCGAAUAUUUACAAAUUGAUCAUCUCGACAUCAAGAUGCAUGGACAUGAUAAACAAAUGGAUUGCAAGUUUUAGAAAUAGUGUAUUUUGUAAUGCAUUUUUUGACCGUUAAUUUUCAAGAUUUUCAAGUUGUCAUAGAUAUGUCGAUCUACACUAAUUUUGAAGUUUUAAACUUUAUAAAUAAAUAUGAAACUAUAUUUUAAGGCUGUCACAAAGAUUUCCAAUAUUGAAACAACAUUUCUCGACACUAUUUGAAGGUAGGCUCUAAUUUGAUUGUUAGAGCCUAGGCUCUAUACAAACCACACCCGUUUUGUUAUAGUUGUAAAUAAUUUUUUUAAAUUAAAUGGUAUUAUAAGAUAUUUUAGAUUUGUUUUUAUUUGUAUAAUAAAAUAAUUAUAAAAUAUAAAGUUAUAAACCAUUAAUUUUAAUUUCAGUAUAUGAUAUUAUAAUAAGUUAGGUUGUGAUAAUUUUAGAUGAGUAAAAUUGAUUAAUAAAUAUUUGAUACUUUGAUCUGAUACUAAUUUCACUUUAUAUGAGAAAUUAUUGUUUUUAAUUUUAUAAUAUGGAAGUGUUUUCUAAUAUUUUUAAAUUAUUUUGAUGUAAUAUUAUAAUACUAUAUUACAAUUAGUAAUUAUACUGACAUCCAGAUUGGAAAAAAACAUUUCAGUAUUCACCUAUUUUUACAAAGUAAUGAAAUUAUAUAAUGCACCACUCUUAAAUUCUUUUAGAAACUAAAACGAAUCCGCCGAUUCCCCAAUCCGAUAUGGGUAUGGGUGUGACGAUUCGAGUCACCGAUACGUUUUUCUUAAACCUUGAUUAAAAGUAAGGACAAAGUUUCUAUGAGUUGGCCGACUCACCUAUUCAAAUGAGUCCUCUCCUAAAGUCUAUUUUAGAUAUGGAUUUUGGAUUCAAACUUUUGAGGAAUCUCAACAAUGAUAAGUAGUAACAUGAAUAAUUAAAUAAAAUCUUAAAGACACAAAAAAUUUUUUUUUUGACAUAAUUUUAACACCAUCAAUUUUUUAGAUCAUCAUUGUCCAACAUCCAUAUCCAUUAUGGAUAUUAGAUAUAUUAAGGGAUGCUAUGGUAGAAGUGCAUCCCCCUCAUGCAUGAACUGCUUUUCCUAAAAGUAAACGGACCAAGUUUCUAUGCGGCCACCAAGGUUACAUAUGUAGAAAUGUGGGUCUCUUAAUAAAUUUAUUUUUGAGAUGGAUUUUAAGACUUAAAUUUUAAAGACAUGUAAUCUCUAACAUGGAGAUCAUGAAUAUGAAAAAAUAAAUAAAGUUUAAAAACUAGGAAUAAUAAUUAUAGUAAAAAAAUAUUUAGAUCGUUAGCACUUUUCUCGACUGCAUGUGUAGAAAUGUGGUCCCACCCACAUGAAACAAUGUUCCAAAAGUAAAUGGCGUCUUUGUAUAUUUUUUUGGAUGAAGUUUCUAUAAGGCUUAGAUUUUAAAAUAAAGCAUCACCUAAAAUUCUUGUCCAAAAAGCACUUUCGGCAACAAAAAUCUCCUUUGCCAAUUGACAUGUAGAACAAGUCUAAAAUCAAUUUUCAGCACCGACAAUGAAAUUUGAAACAAACAAAACAGUACAGAUCUUGCAUAUUUNNNNNNNNNNNNNNNNNNNNAAACUUCAUACUCCUGAAAACCCCCAUCUCCAAGAAACCCCAUUUGAUUUUCUCUCUAUAAUAGAGAAAAAGCCCAUCCCCAAUUUUGAGCUUUUUCCAAAUUCACAAAGCAAAACCCCCAUCCCCAAUUUUGAAGAAGCAUACCUUGUUUUUAAUGAAACACAGGUCUUCCAAAGACGUUGCUGCUCUAUCGAGCUUCCUUUUCAGUGAGCUCAGGGGAGAAGAGAGUUCUAUCGAGCUUCUUCCUGUUUUCAAGUCUUCCAAAGCCGUGCUCCAUCUUUUUCCCCAAAAGUCUUCAAAUUUCACAAAAGGUUUUGCAGAAGCGGUUUUCAAUGAAAACAACUACGAAAAAUAAAAAGUAACCUUUAUAUUAACUAUAGUUAAAGCAUUUAAUGAUAAAAAAAAAUUGUGCAUUUUUUUGGGCAUAUUGAUAUUUGCUAAAGUAUUUAAGUAGAUUUGGG